UUGAGAUCAUUUGAUUCUUGCCUCUCUCUCUCCUCACGUUUCUCCUCUCUUCACGUCAAUCUCUCUCUCCCUUGUCUCUCUUCUCUCCUCAACUCUCCUAAGACCAGCGUGCUGGCCUCUCUCCCCCCUCUUGUCUCCCUCUCCUCUCUUCUUCUUCCAUCAUCUCUCGCGUCAUCCCCUCCUAGUCACAUUUAUCUCCAACGUUGAAGAAGAAGGAGCGGUGAUUCCUCUAGGCGAGCCACGGCCCUAGGGGGAUUUUCAACACUUCGACUUCACCUCGGAUCUGCAUGCCUUGGGUGCAAUUCCUCUGCCAUAUCAGAGGAGUUAGAGGCUCUAGACGCGCAAAGGAGGCUGCAGUUCCAUCCCUAGUAGCGCAGCAACCCAUCGUGAAUCCAGAAAGAAAGGUUAGUUCGUUCUCGUUUUGGAAUUGUCUAAGUAACGUGUUGGCUUAGUUUAGUUUUGGAUUUCUCGAGGGAGGGGUUGGAACUCUUGAGUCACAGCCAAGAUUCCAUCAUCUUCUUUGCGUGGAAGUCACUUCUAAACUAGGUUUUACAAGUCUUAGAAGGAUUCCAAAGGAGAUGCGCUUGCCAAUGUUGAAAGAAAGUUCAAAUUUGGUCUAGUAAGGGCCGAGCUUCUUCAAAGAGAAACACAGAAACUUGCUGGAGUUUUCACUAGAAAAUUAGUAUUCCAUCAACACGUUUUACGGUGAAAUACCAUCAAAGCCAACAAAGAAGCAUAGGAGAAAAAUCAGCGCGAGAAAAGAAGAAGAACGCUGGUGGUUUCGCGUAGAACGGCCAAGGCGUUUGCAAGUUACAAGUCACCGAAAAAUUCUCGUUUUCCGGCAACGUCUGCCAUUUUUCCGGCCACAUUUGGGUCUAUUCCGACCACUACUCUCAAAGGUCAGACGUGUCCUCCGUUGCAAGAAAAGGAGCUGAACAUUUGGUGGGUAAUUUCGUCAAAGAAAAAGAAGGAGGUGCACAUGACGUGAAAGAGAGAGAUUCUAUGGUGGGUAAUUUCGUCCAAGAAAAAGAAGGUGCACAUGACGUGAAAGAGAGAGAUUCUAGGAGUGAUCUACGGCCCUCCGACAUUUUUGCCAAAAAGUGGUAUGAGAUCUAUACCCCUUCCUUUCAAUUAGUUCUCAACCAUUCAUCUUGAUCAAGAGGGGAUUCACUUCACACGGGAACCAGUUUUUAGCCCUUAAUCUCCUACAUUUGCUCUAAUUGAUCCCAAGAAAGCCACAGUGUCGCACCAACUUUUGAUUCACAUUUGGUGGAGAUUGCUCAGAAAGUUCAGGAACUAUCAAUCUUUCCUAACCCAUAGAUCCCUGCCACGUCCUAUUCUUGAGCCUCACAUGAUUUAGGAACCACUCUUUUAGCUAUUUCACAGGCCAUUAGUUAGUUUUUCCAUAAUUUGAGUCCCACGUCUCUAGUGUAAGCCCCUAGCUUCUCUCUAUCUCAUCAUUGGAUGACCCAACCUGUCCUAAAUCACCCAACCCCAUAUUCCUUGCAUCUAAUAAUCUAAGCCUAACCAUACCUCACGCCCUUGUCCUAAGCUCACGUGUUUCCAAACCUCUCACACAUAGAACUUAAACCCUCUUAACCCGUAGAAGCUGUCCAAGCCCACGCCUCUCCCCCAACUGUCCUUAACCAGCCACACAUAAGGGAAUACCAUAGCUCUAUGACCGAGCUCACAUCUCUUGACCGUAGCUAGGGUCAUUCCCCAGCUCUAGACCGAGCUGACCUUGACCAGUUCCAGCAACAUCAAAUCUUUUUGGCGUGCAUCCUUGGGCUUCUUCACUUGUCGCCCAAGUGGAUUGAGGUCUACACCACAUUAGGCCUCCUUCGUGCGCUGCCACGCACUCAGCCAGGGGGGGCUGAGCUAGGAGGCAUCCCUUUGCCUCACUUGGAGCCGAGGGCCCCUUCGGAAGCGGCUGAACCUUCCCUUGUUCCAGCUUGGUCUUCAGCAUUGUCCGUGUGAAGAAAGGAGACGCUUGCAAUUGAACCAGCGUCGCCCUUGGCAUUGAUGUCGUCUUCCUUGGAGAUGCUCCCAUGGCAGCCGUCUUCUUGGUGUGAUCACGGGCUAGCAUUCUUCUAGAGCCACAACAUUCCUUUCAUCUUCUGCACACAUCAGAAAAGUGGUAGAAUUCUAAAGUCUGAACGGCGAAGCGCAAGAUCGCCUUGGAGAGUUUGCACUAAUUCAUAGAAGAUCAGGAGCUUCUCCAAAUUUGGACCAGCUGCUUAUCAAACAUUGUUUACCAUCAUCAUCAUAUGCAAUUACUGACUAUCAACCAUUAAUUACCAUUUUGUCCAAGCGAUAGGGCGGAGCUCUGAAGGAUUACGCUUGAGAGCUUCUCUCUCCGAGGGCAUCUUCCAGACGCCCAAUCUGCUCACAGGUCUUCCCGUGAGGCUCCGCUCGGGACCGCCCGGGAAAAGAUGGCGGCCCAGCAAACCUCAAACAGACAAGAGGAUACCAUGGACACUGCUGUUCCAGACAAGGAGUCUCUCCCCAAAGUGACGUGGGCAGAGAUCGUCUUUGGCGAAGCAGAACUUGAGGGAGUUGAGGACGAGCCUGUUUUCGGUGAGGAAAAUGGUAGCCAACUUAUGCCGUAAAUUCUCGGCACCGUUUUGAUUCCAGUCAUUGGUUGUCUGGUAGGGCCUUCCGGUAAGAUCUCAUGCAACUAUGAAUUGGUCUUCAAAGAGCUGACCCAGCCAUUCCCCAUGUUCACAGCACUGAAACGAGGAUAUUUUCUCGUCCGUUUAAGAAAUGAAGAGGAAAUGAAUCUUGACCUUCGGGAGAGGACAUGGUUCAUUAACUGCAAGUGCUUAGUGACCAAACGUUGGUCACUUGGUAUGCCGUUAAAGAUCCAGCGGAUGAUGUCGUCUCCCCUCUGGAUUAGAUUGCCUGGUCUUCCGCCGGAACUAUGGGCUUCUGGAGCUCUCAAGAACAUUGCAGCUCUUCUAAAGGGCUACUUUUUGGAGGCUGAUCUUGCUGCCCGGUCGAUGGCUCGCCACAUUUAUGCCAGAUUUUCCAUUCACCUUCCCCUGGGCGCAAAACUCCCAAAUGAAAUAGCCAUUGGGAUGAGACCAGAUAGAAGCUUAAUUCAACCGGUGAUUUACGAGGUUGCAUUUCUGUAGGAGAUGUGGCCUAAACUCCCACCAGCCAGAUACAUGUCCGUACAGUGGAGACACUCAAGUUCUUGGGAGGGACUACCCCUAUCCGGGCUUCGUCUACGAAGGUUCCCCCACUCCAGUGACUUCCAAGGAAGGCGUGCCGUGGCGGGGCGGGGUUCUUCUUCAUCAUUCGCUUCGUUUCUCCUCAAAACAGCAAGGCGGGCUGCGGCGGGGCAAGGUUCUUCUUCAUCACAGUUGUGAAGAAAUAUUGUACAAAUCAUUACCAUGGAAGAUAGCGGUCCAUCAAGGGAGAAUCUUACGUGGACUAAGCACAGAUGGACUACUUAGUCCAGCGUCUUUUGGAGCAAUCACACAUUCCUGGUAUGAAAUCGGGUGGAGGUUUGAAGUCAAAAGCCUACACAGCAAUUGAAAACAACAUGAUAGAUCGCUUCGGAAAGGAUUUCACUAAGGACAAAAUUAAAAACAAGUUGAAGUAUGCAAAACCCAACUUGAUAGUUACGAAGGAAAUUUUGAAUACAAGCGGGUUUGGAUAUGACUCCAUUAACAAAUGCAUUGAUGUUGACCCUCAAGUUUGGAGUGAGUAUAUUGAGUUAUAUUAUAGAGAUCGUAAUUUUAGGUUAUGUCUGAUGUCUUUAUUUAUGCAAAAUUUGAAGACAUGAAAUUUUUCAGAAAUACCUGAAUAGAAAAAAAUACAAAGGUCCAAAGUUAUGAAGGUAUUAUGACGAGUUUGCGAGGUAUAUGGUGAUUCCCAUGCAACUGGCAAUGAAGCAGACAUGUAACAACAUGUUCUUAGAUGAAGACACUCAACCAUUCUCAACUACACCUGCAUCUCAAUCGACUUCAUUUUACAUGCAACUUGAAAGUUCAUUAUCAUUCACACAAAUGCUUCAUGAGGAUAGUCCUCCCAUACAAUCACUAAUAUCUACAACUCUUACAACUCAAGAUCCCACAAUGACAACCAAUAAGACUUCAAGUAGGUCUAAAAGGACCAGGUCAACCUAUGAUGAAGAGUAUUAUAAUUUGUUGCUCGGUAUUGUUGAUGAUGUGAAGACCAUGACACAUGCAUGUAGAGAGGUUCAAUUUGUCACUUGUUGCGACAUACUUCAAGAGUUGGUUGAGACUGGACAAAUAGAUUGUGAUACACAUGUAAAGAGUAUUGACAUGUUAGCAGAGGGCACCAACCUCAUGAUCCUUGAUAACUAUGACACCUGCUUUAAAGGUGGAAGGUUGACAAAGAUCAUGGGGUUGGUGCCCUCUGCUAACAUGUCAAUACUCUUCACUUUUGUAUCACAAUUUAUUUGUCCAGUUUCAACCAACUCUUGAAGUAUGUCGCAACAAGUGACAAAUUAAACCCCUUUACAUGCACGUGCGUAGUCUUCACAUCAUCAGCAAUAACGUGCAACAAAUUAUAAUAUUCUUCAUCAUAGGUUGACAUGGUCCUUCUAGACCUACUUGUAGUCUUAUUGGUUGUCAUUGUGGGAUCUUGAGUUGUAGAUAUUGGCGAUUGUAUGAGAGGGCUAUCUUCAUGGAGCAUUUGUGUGAAUGAUUGUGAACUUUCAAGUUGCAUGUAAAAUGAAGUCGAUUGAGAUGCAGGUGUAGUUGGAAAUGGUUCAGUAUCCUCAUCUAAGAACAUGUUGUUGCAUGUGUCUGCUUCAUUGCCAGAGAAUCACCAUAUACCUUGCAAACUCGUCAUAGUACCUCCAUAACUUUGGACCUUUGUAUUUUUUUCUAUUCAGGUAUUUCUGAAAAAUUUCAUGUGUUCAAAUUUUGCUCAAAUAAAGAUAUGUCAGACAUAACUUAAAAUUACGAUAUCUAUAACAUACCUCAAUGUACUCACUCCAAACUUGAGGGUCAACAUCAAUGCAUUUGUUAAUAGGGUCAUAUCCAAACCCGCUUGUAUUCAAAAUUUCUUUCAUAACUGUCAAGUUGGGUUUUGCCUACAAAUAAAUUAUUUUUAAGAAUUUUCUGCUUCAGGCUGUUGUCAAUCAUCCAAUCAUCUCUCCUAAUAGAGACUGCCUAUUGCUGCAAAAUCAACAACUUAAGAGCAAGUGUUUUGUUGAUGUCUGGAAUUCUAUUAGGCAGAAGAACUCUCCUGAAGCCUGGGGAGAAAGGAGAUCUGGUAUCCCCGAACUAACCCCAAGGCAUAGUGGUUCACCUACCUUGCAACUGAGGACUGCCUGCCAACUCAAGAUUGCUUCCAAUGUAGAGGUUUUUUUCUUGCAAACCCAUGUUUCAUUUGAGAGAGGGAGGAAGAGGCCUCCCCCCCAUUUUCUUUGAGUGCAAAUUGGUCAAAUCUGUUUGGCCAUCUAUUCUGAGCAAGUUCAAAAGGGAGUUUUCUUUCUCUUCCAAUAUAGUCAAUGUUCUCAAAAGAUGGUUUGCUACUGGGUUUAAGAGAGGUUGGCUCUCUCUGUGUUGGAAGAUUGGGUUUGUGUUUGGCACCAUUAUCUGGGGGAUGUGGUCUUCUAUGAAAAAGUUUAUGGUUAAUGAUGCUGAGACUACCAUUGAAGGGGAAAGGUAGAGGAUAGCUAGAUUGUUUGAGGAUGCCUGUCUAGCAUCUGUUAGGAAUGACAAGGAGGGUUCCCUCAUCAGAUUGUGGCUUCUCUCAGGGUGUGCAGCAGGUGACUGGCCUCACCUUCAGGGGGGUCAUUGCUGCCUUCAGAUCUUCUCCUUUUUGAAGAAUGGAAGAAAAUGGAUUGCUCAUGGCGUAAAAUGGCACAACGAGGAUCUGUGUCUCACUAUGGUUGAAGAGCCCGUGGGGGAUGAAGUCUUCCGAAGACCAGCAUUCUCCAAAAGCUGAUAUCCUGCUUUGAGAUUGUUACUACUGCCAAGGUUAUACUUGUUUCUAACCAGAAAAGGUGGCUGAAAUGAGUGAGAGACUCUUGCAAAGGUAAGGCAAAUUUUGCUCGUUCUCAUUUACAGAUUGCUGGAGCGUCUCAAAAGCUGGAGUUUUGCAAGUCUGAACAUGCUGUGGAGAUCAUCUCCUUACUGUUUGGAACGGUUUAAAUUAGCCGGUUCCAGUCUGGUUUUUUGCUGCGCUUUUUUGGGAGCAAAAGUUUUUCUUGUGUUCACUGGCUGUCAUUGUGUAUAGCUGAUUUUGUAUAUGCUCCUUGGAUAUACUCUCCAAUUUCUUAUUUAAUUUCAUUCAGGAGGACGCUCCUCCAGCAGGGUUGUUUCGGCUUUAA